GAUGAACGCUGGCGGCGUGCCUAAUACAUGCAAGUCGAGCGAACGGACGAGAAGCUUGCUUCUCUGAUGUUAGCGGCGGACGGGUGAGUAACACGUGGAUAACCUACCUAUAAGACUGGGAUAACUUCGGGAAACCGGAGCUAAUACCGGAUAAUAUUUUGAACCGCAUGGUUCAAAAGUGAAAGACGGUCUUGCUGUCACUUAUAGAUGGAUCCGCGCUGCAUUAGCUAGUUGGUAAGGUAACGGCUUACCAAGGCAACGAUGCAUAGCCGACCUGAGAGGGUGAUCGGCCACACUGGAACUGAGACACGGUCCAGACUCCUACGGGAGGCAGCAGUAGGGAAUCUUCCGCAAUGGGCGAAAGCCUGACGGAGCAACGCCGCGUGAGUGAUGAAGGUCUUCGGAUCGUAAAACUCUGUUAUUAGGGAAGAACAUAUGUGUAAGUAACUGUGCACAUCUUGACGGUACCUAAUCAGAAAGCCACGGCUAACUACGUGCCAGCAGCCGCGGUAAUACGUAGGUGGCAAGCGUUAUCCGGAAUUAUUGGGCGUAAAGCGCGCGUAGGCGGUUUUUUAAGUCUGAUGUGAAAGCCCACGGCUCAACCGUGGAGGGUCAUUGGAAACUGGAAAACUUGAGUGCAGAAGAUGAAAGUGGAAUUCCAUGUGUAGCGGUGAAAUGCGCAGAGAUAUGGAGGAACACCAGUGGCGAAGGCGACUUUCUGGUCUGUAACUGACGCUGAUGUGCGAAAGCGUGGGGAUCAAACAGGAUUAGAUACCCUGGUAGUCCACGCCGUAAACGAUGAGUGCUAAGUGUUAGGGGGUUUCCGCCCCUUAGUGCUGCAGCUAACGCAUUAAGCACUCCGCCUGGGGAGUACGACCGCAAGGUUGAAACUCAAAGGAAUUGACGGGGACCCGCACAAGCGGUGGAGCAUGUGGUUUAAUUCGAAGCAACGCGAAGAACCUUACCAAAUCUUGACAUCCUUUGACAACUCUAGAGAUAGAGCCUUCCCCUUCGGGGGACAAAGUGACAGGUGGUGCAUGGUUGUCGUCAGCUCGUGUCGUGAGAUGUUGGGUUAAGUCCCGCAACGAGCGCAACCCUUAAGCUUAGUUGCCAUCAUUAAGUUGGGCACUCUAAGUUGACUGCCGGUGACAAACCGGAGGAAGGUGGGGAUGACGUCAAAUCAUCAUGCCCCUUAUGAUUUGGGCUACACACGUGCUACAAUGGACAAUACAAAGGGCAGCGAAACCGCGAGGUCAAGCAAAUCCCAUAAAGUUGUUCUCAGUUCGGAUUGUAGUCUGCAACUCGACUACAUGAAGCUGGAAUCGCUAGUAAUCGUAGAUCAGCAUGCUACGGUGAAUACGUUCCCGGGUCU
rnacentral:rRNA from 1 species